UUCUACCUGUAAACUGGACUGCAUCCUGAAUUCUUCUAGUCUUCUGAAAUAUCUGGCUACAAAUAUGCAAACGAACUGUUCCAUUUUUCCAUCAUUUUUAUUUGAAAUCAUUGAGAGCUGAAACCACCCUUUUUCCUAAAGCCCUGUGAACUGAAGCUCGACAACUUGAUAUAAACCUUAUAGAGAUCACCACAACAGCAUGCUGUUUAAGCCACUCAAAAGGAUACCUGAACACCCAAUGACAUCAUCAGAGACAUUUCAAGCUGCAAAAGAUGCUUUGACCCUGACAUCUAGAAAUCUUCUUCACUGGCUGUCCCCUGGGCUCAGAAACUGGUUUAUAAUUUGCUCCAAUCAUUAACCUUGUUUUUCUUUUUGUUUCCAUAGAAAUACUUCUUGUUAAAUACCUGAUGGAUUGCUUACACAGUAUAGGCCUAACUUUUGGAGCCCACCUGUAUCACUGCCUCCUAAAAUGAAUUUAACUAGACUGAUCUAUUACCAGGACUAAGAAAUGUGUUCAGUGAGAUGGAACAACCUACCAACUCAGCUUCUGGACUAUGAAACGUCCUAAAGUUUCAAAGGACUGUGAAACUUCUUAAAGUUGCAAAGAGACCCUAAGAAAACACACAUCCUGACACUGACCUUUAUGUUUUCUGAGGAGAUCAUUCUAACAUCAAUACAAUUGAUAAAUACUCUGAGUCCACAGCAGGAUUUUCCCAGCAGGAAGCAUUAAAUCCCUGAAGAUGCUCAGGAGAAAAUCUCCCAGUCUCUUUAUUUGAGCCGGAGUUAGAUGAAUGAUGGAUCACAAGGAUGAGAGUUUCUAAGAAGCUGAUUCUCAUGCCUUGCCUUGGUGGAUGCUUCCUGUAGAGUUGGCGGUUGUCAGCCCCAUCUGUUGUGAACUGGCCCAAAGCCAGCAGCUUUAAUUCUCAAAACUGGAAAUCAAGUGUGGGGUAUUAGGGGUACAGGAACCACAGGAUGUGGAUAUUCUGGGUGUCUGGCGCCUCCUAAGAAAGAUGCAUCUGUUGGAAUAGGCAGCUGGUGAGAAGACUGAGUCAGCAGCAGACGUGAGCAGUUUCCCAGCACUCAGGUCCCAUCUGUCCCACACUUUCCACCUCUCUCUUAGAACACGGGCUCCUCCAGGCUUAUUAGCCAAUCUGUAUAGUCAGAUCUGACUACUGGGAUCAGUGUGAUGGCAUAAACAAUGCUGAACAAGGAGAUGUUUCCUCCAUAUGUGAUGGAGACCAGAUGGUUUGGGCUGUGGAAGCCAAAGAUCCAUGGCAGGACCAUCCUAAUCCCUCCUGGCAAACAACCUAUCCAGAGAGAACAUCAUUGUAGGAAGAGAGUUUCUCUCUUGCUUUUCUCAUUAAACUAGAUGUGAAUACAAGACAAUAAAUAAUGAGUGUUGGAGAAGAUGUGGAGAAAAGAGAACCCUCAUACACUGCUGGGGGGAAUGAAAACUGAUGCAGCCACUAUGGAAAACAGUAUGGAGAUUUCUCAAAAAAUUAUAAUAGAAAUACUAUAUGACCCAGCUAUCCCAAUACAGGAUAUUUAUACAAAGAAUGUGAAAUCAACAAUUCAAAGAGAUGUAUGCACCCCUAUAUUCAUUGCAACAUUAUUCACAAUAGCCAAGAUGUGGAAGCAAGCCAAGGCUCAUCAACUGAUGAAUGGAUAAAGACGUGGUAUACAGACCCAAUGGAAUACUACUUAGCCAUAAAAAAAGACAAAAUAGUCCCAUUUACAACAACGUGGGUGGGCCUUGAGGGCAUUACGUUUAGUGAAAUAAGCCAUACAGGGAAAGACAAACACGUUUGAUUUCAUUCAAAUGUGGAAGAAAAACUAACACAUGGACGAAGAGAAAGAUUAGUGGUUACCA